UAUGUAUUAAAAGGAUUAAUUUCUAUAUGUAGGAAAAGGCCAUUGGCCUUGGGCUUUGGCGCAUGAGAAAAUCAGAAAGGGGCAAGGAAGUGUGAAGUUUUCAUUUCCUUCACCAUUCACGUUAUCUUUCCCUCUCAGCUUCCCUGUUACUCUCGUACUCUCCUUUCACCGGUUUUCAUUGCCAUCGUGCAGCAAAUCACCUUCGGCGGCGGCGCGACCCAUAACAUACUCAAACCACCAUCAAUAGAUGAACCUUGCACAUUUGGAUCUUAUUGAUUCUUGGAGAAAGUGGUGGCCUCAAGUGAUAGCUUGUCAUGUAGCAAGAUGAAGUUGAAUGGCUUUGAAGUUUUAAAAAGAUACAGGUCUAUGGGAGGGUUAAUGAUUGGUCAGAGUCACUGGUCUUUGGUCAACUAUUUGUAAGAAUGUAUUUUUCAAUAAAAUUUUAUUUCUUUUUGUACUCUUUUGUAAUUGAAUGCUUUUGCAAUAUCUUGUAGAUUGAACUUGAAGUCAUGUAACUUGUACUCCAAAUAAUUUUCAAAUACAAAUUUCCCUCCA